rnacentral:rRNA from 1 species
UACGUAGGGGGCAAGCGUUGUCCGGAUUUACUGGGCGUAAAGAGCGUGUAGGCGGCCACGCAGGUCCGUUGUGAAAACUGGAGGCUCAACCUCCAGCUGUCGACGGAAACCGUAUGGCUAGAGUCCGGAAGAGGAGAGUGGAAUUCCUGGUGUAGCGGUGAAAUGCGCAGAUAUCAGGAAGAAUACCGGUGGCGAAAGCGACUCUCUGGACGGCAACUGACGCUGAGGCACGAAAGCGUGGGGAGCGAACAGG